rnacentral:pre_miRNA from 1 species
UUUAUACUCCCUCCGUCCGGAAAUACUUGUCAUCAAAAUGGAUAAAAAGGGAUGUAUCUAGAUGUAUUUUAGUUCUAGAUACAUCUUUUUUUAUCCAUUUUGAUGACAAGUAUUUUCGGACGGAGGGAGUAGGUC